GUAGACAAUAUCCCAAGGCUACAAGCUCCAGUAUUGACUUAUACACCAGCUGAAGGUGGCGACAAGUUAUACAAGCAUGGGAUAAUCAAUUAGGACAAACUACCAUUUCAUAAUAACAUGAAACUGAACAAGUUCAUCAAGCACAGAUUCUGAAACAGUAUGUACACUUCACCUAAAGUCAUUCUGUCACCUCUUUAUAUGGUAUAAGCAUAUCUUACCAGCAGAGUUACUAAUUAAAUGGGUAACGAGUAUCAUCAUGUCUCCUGUAUACCAAAUGAUUUUAGAAGGCUUAGUUAUGUAUGUGUACAUUAGGCCAGCUACACCAAGACUUUAUGCUAGAGGGCACACCCUUGUACAGAAGAUGCGGUCUUGGAUUUAAACAAAGCCUUAAAUCAUUUGUCUAAGAUUAAGUUUGCUCAGCGCGGUUUGACCAGGAUAGACUUAUAGUGAUUUGUUU
rnacentral:misc_RNA from 1 species